GAUGAACGCUGGCGGCGUGCUUAACACAUGCAAGUCGAACGGAAAGGCCCAAGCUUGCUUGGGUACUCGAGUGGCGAACGGGUGAGUAACACGUGGGUGAUCUGCCCUGCACUUCGGGAUAAGCCUGGGAAACUGGGUCUAAUACCGGAUAGGACGAUGGUUUGGAUGCCAUUGUGGAAAGUUUUUUCGGUGUGGGAUGAGCUCGCGGCCUAUCAGCUUGUUGGUGGGGUAAUGGCCUACCAAGGCGUCGACGGGUAGCCGGCCGGAGAGGGUGUACGGCCACAUUGGGACUGAGAUACGGCCCAGACUCCGACGGGAGGCAGCAGUGGGGAAUAUUGCACAAUGGGCGCAAGCCUGAUGCAGCGACGCCGCGUGGGGGAGGACGGCCUUCGGGUUGUAAACUCCUUUCGCUAGGGACGAAGCGUUUUUGUGACGGUACCUGGAGAAGAAGCACCGGCUAACUACGU
rnacentral:rRNA from 1 species